rnacentral:rRNA from 1 species
UACGUAGGGUGCAAGCGUUAAUCGGAAUUACUGGGCGUAAAGCGUGCGCAGGCGGUUAUGCAAGACAGAUGUGAAAUCCCCGGGCUCAACCUGGGAACUGCAUUUGUGACUGUAUGGCUAGAGUGCGGCAGAGGGGGAUGGAAUUCCGCGUGUAGCAGUGAAAUGCGUAGAUAUGCGGAGGAACACCGAUGGCGAAGGCAAUCCCCUGGGCCUGCACUGACGCUCAUGCACGAAAGCGUGGGGAGCAAACAGG